UUCCCUAGGUGGGGCAGCAGUAUGGAAUAUGGGGCAAUGGACGCAAGUCUGACCCAGCCGUGCCGCGUAGGGAGGGAAGCUCCUUGGGUUUGGAAAAUUGUCGGUUUGUAAAAAAAGGGGCAUUGUAUUGAAAGACGUACCCCUGAAUAGCCCUAGUUCU
rnacentral:rRNA from 1 species